AUUGAACGCUGGCGGCAGGCCUAACACAUGCAAGUCGAGCGGAGCGGCGGACGGGUGAGUAAUGCCUAGGAAUCUGCCUGGCAGUGGGGGAUAACGUCCGGAAACGGGCGCUAAUACCGCAUACUAUGAGAUGAGCCUAGGUCGGAUUAGCUCGUUGGUGGGGUAAAGGCCUACCAAGGCGACGAUCCCUAGCUGGUCUGAGAGGAUGAACAGCCACACUGGAAAUGAGACACGGUCCAGACGCCGACGGGAGGCAGCAGUGGGGAAUAUUGCACAAUGGGCGCAAGCCUGAUCCAGCCAUGCCGCGUGUGUGAAGAAGGCCUUCGGGUUGUAAAGUACUUUCAGCGGGGAGGCGUUACCCGCAGAAGAAGCACCGGCUAACUCCGUGCCAGCAGCCGCGGUAAUAC
rnacentral:rRNA from 1 species